GAUGAACGCUAGCUACAGGCUUAACACAUGCAAGUCGAGGGGAAACGACAUCGAAAGCUUGCUUUUGAUGGGCGUCGACCGGCGCACGGGUGAGUAACGCGUAUCCAACCUGCCCACCACUUGGGGAUAACCUUGCGAAAGUAAGACUAAUACCCGAUGAUAUCUCUAGAAGACAUCUGAAAGGGAUUAAAGAUUUAUCGGUGAUGGAUGGGGAUGCGUCUGAUUAGCUUGUUGGCGGGGUAAACGGCCCACCAAGGCAACGAUCAGUAGGGGUUCUGAGAGGAAGGUCCCCCCACAUUGGAACUGAGACACGGUCCAAAACUCCUACGGGGAGGCAGCAGUGAGGAAUCUUCCGCAAUGGGGCGAAAGCCUGACGGAGCAACGCCGCGUGAGUGAUGACGGCCUCGGUUGUAAGUAUCUGUGAGUCGGGACGGAACGGGUA
rnacentral:rRNA from 1 species